GACGACUCGGAAACUCAGCUUUUUACUUGCGGGGACGACUCCGCGUACUGUGGGGACGGCUCGCGCAUAUCACUUGAAAUCGGCCUUUCUGCCGCCACUGAGAGAGUCGACUCCGCUACUGAGAGAGUCGACUCCGACCCUGCGAGACGCCUCGCCAGGUGCCGGGGACGUCUUCAAGUGUGCCAGUUCUUCCUGUUUGUGCCAGAGACGUCUCUGAGACCAUCAGGAGACGUCUCGGCUGUCCCUGAUC
rnacentral:lncRNA from 1 species